rnacentral:rRNA from 1 species
UCGGGAAUUUUGGGCAAUGGGCGAAAGCCUGACCCAGCAACGCCGCGUGAAGGAUGAAGUAUUUCGGUAUGUAAACUUCGAAAGAAUAGGAAGAAUAAAUGACGGUACUAUUUAUAAGGUCCGGCUAACUACGUGCCAGCAGCCGCGGUAAUACGUAGGGACCAAGCGUUGUUCGGAUUUACUGGGCGUAAAGGGCGCGUAGGCGGCAUGACAAGUCACUUGUGAAAUCUCUGGGCUUAACCCAGAACGGCCAAGUGAUACUGUCGCGCUAGAGUGCAGAAGGGGCAAUCGGAAUUCUUGGUGUAGCGGUGAAAUGCGUAGAUAUCAAGAGGAACACCUGAGGUGAAGACGGGUUGCUGGGCUGACACUGACGCUGAGGCGUGAAAGCCAGGGGAGCAAACGGGAUUAGAUACCCACGUAGUCCCUGAGCGGGCUGGCAAGGCGCAU